rnacentral:rRNA from 1 species
AUUGAACGCUGGCGGCAGGCCUAACACAUGCCAGUCGACCGAGUGGCGGACGGGUGAGUAAUGUCUGGGAAACUGCCUGAUGGAGGGGGAUAACUCCUGUAAACGGUAGCUAAUACCGCAUACCAUCAGAUGUGCCCAGAUGGGAUUAGCGAGUAGGUGGGGUAAUGGCUCACCUAGGCGACGAUCCCUAGCUGGUCUGAGAGGAUGACCAGCCACACUGGAACGGAGACACGGUCCAGACUCGUACGGGAGGCAGCAGGGGGGAAUAUUGCACAAGGGGCGCAAGCCGGAUGCAGCAAGGCCGCGUGUGUGAAGAAGGCCUUCGGGUUGUAAAGUACUUUCAGCGAGGAGGCGUUACUCGCAGAAGAAGCACCGGCUAACUCCGUGCCAGCAGCCGCGGUAAUAC